rnacentral:rRNA from 1 species
UACGUAGGUCCCGAGCGUUGUCCGGAUUUAUUGGGCGUAAAGCGAGCGCAGGUGGUUUAUUAAGUCUGGUGUAAAAGGCAGUGGGUCAACCAUUGUAUGCAUUGGAAACUGGUAGACUUGAGUGCAGGAGAGGAGAGUGGAAUUCCAUGUGUAGCGGUGAAAUGCGUAGAUAUAUGGAGGAACGCCGGUGGCGAAAGCGGCUCUCUGGCCUGUAACUGACACUGAGGCUCGAAAGCGUGGGGAGCAAACAGG